UAGUAACUUGUUUGAAAGGCCUACAUUCUGGCGGUGUCAAAUAUCAACAUGUCUGGGUGGGUCCGGAAACCGCUUCUAACAGGUUUAGUUCAUACCUGACGACCACACCUGAAAAACGACGAAAUAAUAUUUCAUAUUCGUGAAGUGAAGAUACCGAGAAUAAAGGACAAACUGCACAUUGCACCCAAAGUUGUUUUAUGUGACACAAUUCCGAAUUUUGGGGAGCCAGAGCUAUAGCCAGAGGGGGGACCAAGCUUGUUGACACGGGGGCACUGGUCCCCCUCGCCAGAGAAACAGUUUGUAGAAAGCAGUUAACAUGGGGUG